rnacentral:rRNA from 1 species
UACGGAGGGUGCGAGCGUUGUCCGGAAUCACUGGGCGUAAAGGGCGCGUAGGCGGCCUGAUAAGUAGGGGGUGAAAUCUUGCGGCUUAACCGCAAGGCUGCCUUCUAAACUGUCAGGCUAGAGCACAGUAGAGGCAGGUGGAAUUCCCGGUGUAGCGGUGGAAUGCGUAGAGAUCGGGAAGAACAUCAGUGGCGAAGGCGGCCUUCUGGACAAUGACUGACGCUGAAACGCGAAAGCGUGGGGAGCAAACAGG